rnacentral:rRNA from 1 species
CCCAAAGGCGGAAUGAAAGUGAGACGGGCGUGGCCGUGGCUGUUCCUGCAGCGGCGGCGGCGUCCAGGGCCGAUCCCCGACCGGCUGCCCCUGGNCCACUACUCCCGUGGCCACUCACGCGGGGUGAGCCCCUUUCCCCCGCCUCUGGCUUGUGGUGGCGGGUUGUGCGGGGCCUGGAGGCGAAGGUCUUUCCACUGCGUGGAAACCCGUUCUUUCGAGGGGGGGGCGCAGGCCCGGGACUUGCCAGGGACGCGGCGCGUGCACUCCCUGUGCCAGGGAGGCGGGCGUGUCCGCAGUCGGCAAGUACCAGGAGCAGGCAUGUUGGGACCCGAAAGAUGGUGAACUAUGCCUGGCCAGGAUGAAGCCAGAGGAAACUCUGGUGGAG